rnacentral:lncRNA from 1 species
UUCAUACUAUAACCUCAAAACAUUAAAUUUAAUAUUUUAAAAAAAUUAAUUCCAAAACUUAAAUUUAUACUUCAAACACUAUUUUCCAAACCAUACACUAUAACCCUAAACCUUAUACCCAAAUCAUAAAAUCCAAACACCAAAACUUAACCAUAAACUACUAAUCUAAAAUUUUAAAACCUUAUUCUCAAAUUUACUCAAAACCUUAAACCUAACACUCCAAAUUAACCUUAUAUAAGAAAAUAUUAACCUUAUAUCAUAACACAAUACUAAUUAAAUAAUUUUAUAAAUUAUAUUAAAUCAAGUUGUGUUACCCUUAACCCAAACCUAACCCCAAUUCUAUUAGAACUUUUCAAGUUUAUAUUUUCAAUUUAGUCUUUUAAAAUUUUAAGCUCAUACAAUAAAUAUAUACCUCAUUACCUAUUUUCUUAACUCCAAACCUUUAAUCAUAAAUAUAAACUUUCAACUUUGAACUUUUAAUUAUCAAACCCAAAUCCUAAUAUAUCUAAGUUGCAAUUCUAUUGAAAUCAAAGCAUAAACAACAAAAACAUAAAUAUAAUCCUAAACUAUGGAAUCUAAUAAUAAACUAUUAAAGAAAUAGAGUGCUGAUUUCUUAUUGGUUCAUUUUGGAAUGGUGUGGAUCACCAUUUUCUGUUCCUAACCAUUGAUAAUAUUAGAUCCAACGGAUCAGAUUGAUUUGGUUUUGUUUUAACUUUUUCUUCCCUUCUCCCCUCACAAGCUCCAUCGUCUCAUCUCCUCUUUCUUUGUUUUUGACUAAGAUUAUUCUUUCUUCUCCUCACGUACUCCAUCUUCUGCUCCUCAUCUACUCUUUUUCUCCUCUUCUUCUCAAUCUCAACUUAUCUCCUUUGCUCAAUCUCCAUUCAUCUCCAUGUCUAUCCCUACUCUACCUCCAUUCACACCUGCCGUCGUUAGCAUUAGUCGCCAUUGUCGUAGAGACCAAGCCGAUUUCAUGACUCUGUGUUUCAUCCUCUUUCUUCAUCGUUUGUGAAGAAGCAAGGUGUUUCACUCCUCUUCUAAUCUC